rnacentral:rRNA from 1 species
UCGCAAGGUUGAAACUCAAAGGAAUUGACGGGGGCCCGCACAAGCGGAGGAACAUGUGGUUUAAUUCGAUGAUACGCGAGGAACCUUACCUGGGCUUAAAUGUAGAUUGCAUGGAUUGGAAACAGUCCUUCCCUUCGGGGCUAUUUACAAGGUGCUGCAUGGUUGUCGUCAGCUCGUGCCGUGAGGUGUCGGGUUAAGUCCCAUAACGAGCGCAACCCUUAUCGUUAGUUGCCAGCGGGUAGAGCCGGGGACUCUAGCGAGACUGCCACCGUAAGGUGAGAGGAAGGUGGGGAUGACGUCAAAUCAGCACGGCCCUUAUGUCCAGGGCUACACACGUGUUACGAUGGCAAGUACAAAGGGCAGCUACACUGCGAAGUGAUGCUAAUCUCAAAAGCUUGUCCCAGUUCGGAUUGGAGUCUGCAACCCGACUCCAUGAAGUUGGAUUCGCUAGUAAUCGGAUAUCAGCCAUGAUCCGGUGAAUACGUUCCCGGGCCUUGUACACACCGCCCGUCAAACCAUGGGAGCUGGGGGUGCCUGAAGUCUGCCACCGAGAGGAG